UACGAAGGUGGCAAACGUUGCUACUGGAAUUAUUGGGCGUAAAAGGCGCACGUAGGCGGCUUUGCAAGUCGGACGAUGAAACGUCCCUACCGGCUUAACCUGGGGAACUUGACGUCUGAUACUGGAUGGCUUGAAAUCCGGGGAGAGGGAUGCGGAAUUCCAGGUGUAGCGGUAGAAAUGCGUAGAUAUCUGGAGGAACACCGGUGGCGAAGGCGGCAUCCUGGACCGGCAUUGACGACUGAGGA
rnacentral:rRNA from 1 species